rnacentral:rRNA from 1 species
UAGGGAAUAUUGGUCAAUGGACGCAAGUCUGAACCAGCCAUGCCGCGUGCAGGAAGACGGCCUUCUGGGUUGUAAACUGCUUUUAUCAGGGAAGAAUAAGCUACUUGCGAGUAGUGAUGCCUGUACCUGGUGAAUAAGCACCGGCUAACUCCGUGCCAGCAGCCGCGGUAAUACGGAGGGUGCAAGCGUUGUCCGGAUUUAUUGGGUUUAAAGGGUGCGUAGGCGGCCUAUUAAGUCAGUGGUGAAAGGUAUCAGCUUAACUGAUGAAGUGCCAUUGAAACUGAUAGGCUUGAGUACAGACGAGGUAGGCGGAAUUUAUGGUGUAGCGGUGAAAUGCAUAGAUACCAUAAAGAACACCGAUAGCGAAGGCAGCUUACUAGGCUGAGACUGACGCUGAGGCACGAAAGCGUGGGGAGCGAACAGGAUUAGAUACCCGUGUAGUCC